rnacentral:rRNA from 1 species
GACGAACGCUGGCGGCGUGCUUAACACAUGCAAGUCGAGCGGUAAGGCCCUUUCGGGGGUACGACGAGCGGCGAACGGGUGAGUAACACGUGGGUGACCUGCCCUUAGCUCUGGGAUAAGCCUGGGAAACUGGGUCUAAUACCGGAUAUGACUCCAUGACGCAUGUUGGUGGGGUGGAAAGCCUUGUGCGGCUAGGGAUGGGCCCGCGGCCUAUCAGCUUGUUGGUGGGGUGAUGGCCUACCAAGGCGACGACGGGUAGCCGGCCUGAGAGGGCGACCGGCCACACUGGGACUGAGACACGGCCCAGACUCCUACGGGAGGCAGCAGUGGGGAAUCUUGCGCAAUGGGCGAAAGCCUGACGCAGCGACGCCGCGUGGGGA